GACGAACGCUGGCGGCGUGCCUAAUACAUGCAAGUCGAACGGUUUAGUUCCAAGAGGCUUGCCUUUUGGAACUAGACAGUGGCGGACGGGUGAGUAACACGUAGGCAACCUACCUGUCAAACCGGGAUAACCUCGGGAAACCGAAGCUAAACCCGGAUAAGCUCCUUUUUCGCAUGAAGGGGGAGUGAAAAGGUGCGACCUGAUGACAGAUGGGCCUGCGGCGCAUUAGCUAGUAGGUAGGGUAACGGCCUACCUAGGCGAUGAUGCGUAGCCGACCUGAGAGGGCGUACGGCCACACUGGGACUGAGAUACGGCCCAGACUCCUACGGGAGGCAGCAGUAGGGAAUCUUCGGCAAUGGGCGAAAGCCUGACCGAGCAACGCCGCGUGAGUGAGGAAGGCCUUCGGGUUGUAAAACUCUGUUGUUUGGGAAGAAGGGAAAGGGUAGGACCCUUUGGUGACGGUACCAAACGAGAAAGCCCUGGCUAACUACGUG
rnacentral:rRNA from 1 species